UCCCUAGUGGUUCAAAUGGUUAAGAAUCUGCCUGCAAAGCAGAAGACCCAGGUUCAAUCCCUGGCUUGGGAA
rnacentral:tRNA from 1 species